UAUACUCAUUUACAUUAGAAAUAUAUGUGAUAGUAUAAGGACUACUCUAUAUUAGUGAAUUUGGCGCCAUAAUUUAGCUUUCCCUCUACUUUUUUUUCACCAAAUUUCAAAAGCUUUAUGUCUUAUGACAGAAAAAAAAUUAAAUGAAUUCUUUCAAAAAAAUAACCCCACUGCACCACAAGUGGACAAUUAUCUUCCAAAUUUUUUCCCCUAUACAAUUGCUCAAAAAAUUCGAACCCUCAAUUUUUUUCGCAAAAUUAUACCAAUUUCCGGACUUCACUCAAUUAAUAAGAGGAAAGAGGCGAAAUUUUCAACCCUAAAUUCAAUUGCUAGGGUUUGCGAUUGAGGCGAACAAGGAUUGCGAGCAAGGUCAAGAUUGUUAGGGUCUGCCAUUGAAUCGAGAUUGUUAGGGUCUGCCAUUGAGUCGAGUAGCAAGGUUAUGAUUUUCAACUCAGAAAAGAGGCGAUAUUCUUCAACCUAAGGUGGUACUAAUGAAUUCAAUGGUUCAAUAUCGCCCAAUAGGCCAAUAUUUUUAGGCUCUCAAGUUUAGUUUUUGAGUUCUGGAAGUUGACGUAUAAUUGUUUGAGAUGGGUUUUGAUUUGUUUGCAUGGUUUGAAUGAGAUUUCUUGUUGCAUAUGAUUCCCUAUUAUAAGUUUUGAUAAUUUAUUUAAUUGGGUGAGUUUUUUUUUCAUCUUA